rnacentral:rRNA from 1 species
GACGAACGCUGGCGGCGUGCUUAACACAUGCAAGUCGAACGAAGAGCGAUGGAAGCUUGCUUCUAUCAAUCUUAGUGGCGAACGGGUGAGUAACGCGUAAUCAACCUGCCCUUCAGAGGGGGACAACAGUUGGAAACGACUGCUAAUACCGCAUACGAUCUAAUCUCGGCAUCGAGGAAAGAUGAAAGGUGGCCUCUAUUUAUAAGCUAUCACUGAAGGAGGGGAUUGCGUCUGAUUAGCUAGUUGGAGGGGUAACGGCCCACCAAGGCGAUGAUCAGUAGCCGGUCUGAGAGGAUGAACGGCCACAUUGGGACUGAGACACGGCCCAGACUCCUACGGGAGGCAGCAGUGGGGAAUCUUCCGCAAUGGACGAAAGUCUGACGGAGCAACGCCGCGUGAGUGAUGACGGCCUUCGGGUUGUAAAGCUCUGUUAAUCGGGACGAAAGGCCUUCUUGCGAACAGUUAGAAGGAUUGACGGUACCGGAAUAGAAAGCCACGGCUAAUC